AACGAACGCUGGCGGCAUGCCUAACACAUGCAAGUCGAACGAGACCUUCGGGUCUAUUUGCGCACGUGUGCUUAACGCGUGGUAACCUGCCCUUAGGUUCGCUAUAACUCCCCUUAAGGUGUGCUCAUACCGGUUAAUCUCUUCCGACCAAAGAUUUCUCGCCUUUGGUUGGGCCCUCGUUGGAUUCGCUAGUUGGUAGGGUAAAAGCCUACCAAGGCGUCGAUCCAUAGCUGGUCUGAUAGGAUGAUAAUCCACACUGGGGCUGAGACACGGCCCAGACUGCGACGGAAGGGAGCAGUGGGGAAUAUUGGAGGAUGAGGGAAAGUCUGAUAAAGCAGUGCCGCGGGAGAGAUGAAGGGGGUAGGGUUGUAAAGCUCUUUUACACGAGAUGAUAAUGACAGUACCGGGAGAAGAAGCACCGGCUAACUACGUG
rnacentral:rRNA from 1 species